UACGUAGGGGGCAAGCGUUGUCCGGAAUCAUUGGGCGUAAAGCGCGUGUAGGCGGCCCGGUAAGUCCGCUGUGAAAGUCGGGGGCUCAACCCUCGAAUGCCGGUGGAUACUGUCGGGCUAGAGUGCGGGAGAGGCGAGUGGAAUUCCUGGUGUAGCGGUGAAAUGGCGCAGAUAUCAGGAGGAACACCGGUGGCGAAGGCGGGUCUCUGGGCAUUACCUGACGCUGAGGAGCGAAAGUGUGGGGAGCGAACAGG
rnacentral:rRNA from 1 species